rfam:Corchorus olitorius cultivar O-4 contig16633, whole genome shotgun sequence.
GGGUGCGAUCAUACCUGCACUAAUGCACCGGAUCCCAAAAGAACUCCGCUGUUAAGCGUGCUUCGGCGAGAGUAAUACUUGGAUGAGUGACCUCCUAAGAAGUCCUCGUUUUGCUCCCC